GGUAACAGGAAGCAGCUUGCUGCUUUGCUGACGAGUGGCGGACGGGUGAGUAAUGUCUGGGAAACUGCCCGAUGGAGGGGGAUAACUACUGGAAACGGUAGCUAAUACCGCAUAAUGUCGCAAGACCAAAGAGGGGGACCUUCGGGCCUCUUGCCAUCGGAUGUGCCCAGAUGGGAUUAGCUAGUAGGUGGGGUAACGGCUCACCUAGGCGACGAUCCCUAGCUGGUCUGAGAGGAUGACCAGCCACACUGGAACUGAGACACGGUCCAGACUCCUACGGGAGGCAGCAGUGGGGAAUAUUGCACAAUGGGCGCAAGCCUGAUGCAGCCAUGCCGCGUGUAUGAAGAAGGCCUUCGGGUUGUAAAGUACUUUCAGCGGGGAGGAAGGCAGUACGGUUAAUAACCGUGCUGAUUGACGUUACCCGCAGAAGAAGCACCGGCUAACUCCGUGCCAGCAGCCGCGGUAAUACGGAGGGUGCAAGCGUUAAUCGGAAUUACUGGGCGUAAAGCGCACGCAGGCGGUCUGUCAAGUCGGAUGUGAAAUCCCCGGGCUCAACCUGGGAACUGCAUUCGAAACUGGCAGGCUUGAGUCUUGUAGAGGGGGGUAGAAUUCCAGGUGUAGCGGUGAAAUGCGUAGAGAUCUGGAGGAAUACCGGUGGCGAAGGCGGCCCCCUGCACAAAGACUGACGCUCAUGUGCGAAAGCGUGGGGAGCAAACAGGAUUAGAUACCCUGGUAGUGCACGCCGUAAACGAUGUCGACUUGGAGGUUGUGCCCUUGAGGCGUGGCUUCCGGAGCUAACGCGUUAAGUCGACCGCCUGGGGAGUACGGCCGCAAGGUUAAAACUCAAAUGAAUUGACGGGGGCCCGCACAAGCGGUGGAGCAUGUGGUUUAAUUCGAUGCAACGCGAAGAACCUUACCUGGUCUUGACAUCCACGGAAUUUGGCAGAGAUGCAUUAGUGCCUUCGGGAACCGUGAGACAGGUGCUGCAUGGCUGUCGUCAGCUCGUGUUGUGAAAUGUUGGGUUAAGUCCCGCAACGAGCGCAACCCUUAUCCUUUGUUGCCAGCGGUCCGGCCGGGAACUCAAAGGAGACUGCCAGUGAUAAACUGGAGGAAGGUGGGGAUGACGUCAAGUCAUCAUGGCCCUUACGACCAGGGCUACACACGUGCUACAAUGGCGCAUACAAAGAGAAGCGACCUCGCGAGAGCAAGCGGACCUCAUAAAGUGCGUCGUAGUCCGGAUUGGAGUCUGCAACUCGACUCCAUGAAGUCGGAAUCGCUAGUAAUCGUGGAUCAGAAUGCCACGGUGAAUACGUUCCCGGGCCUUGUACACACCGCCCGUCACACCAUGGGAGUGGGUUGCAAAAGAAGUAGGUAGCUUAACCUUCGGGAGGGCGCUACCA
rnacentral:rRNA from 1 species